rnacentral:misc_RNA from 1 species
GUAGGUAUGCCCUAAGAACACAAUAGAAAUUGAUUUAAACAGGAAGAACCUUCUUGACGAUCUCAUCGCUAAGAGUUGCAAUUUGAGCAUCAAGGGAUUUAAUGGUUUCCACUUUCUGAUUCUCCAAGUUCGCCAGUGCUUCCUGCAACUCCGCAUCAAUUUUCUUCCUUCCCUCCGCCAGUUUCUCCUCCACCUCCGCCUGAGUUUCCUUCUUCAUCUUCGUAAGCGCUGCCGAAAUCUCCGCUCUGGCAGCCCUCAUAACGGCGGCAGCUUGCUCGUCGAGCUGCUUG